AUCCUUUUCCAGUUCAUAACCAUGAUGACUGGGUUCUUACACGCUUGUGUGACAUGUGCCUCCCUGUAAACCUUAUUAUAACAGGAGCACAUUACCCAUCUGACA